ACCAUAAGGCGCCACUUCACGUAAGGCGGAGCACUGCCUUACCAUCUCUAGACCGCAUCAGCGCCAAGGCGCUAGUAAGGCGACGCCUUAGCAGCGCCUUAAAAAUUAUGGUCAUAACCAUCUUCAUCGAACUUCCCCGUAGAGAUCAAAUUCAGACGAAGUUUUGGUACAUGUCUCACAUCUUUAAGAACCAAUUUGCAACUAACAUUUGUCUCAACACUUAUAUCACCUAUCCCCACAAUUUUUGAAGUACCACUGUUGCCCAUUGUUACAACACCAAAAUCACCUGUCUUAUAAGAGGUAAAUAACUCUCUAUGAGGGGUAGCAUGGUACGAAGAACCAGUAUCAACAAUCCAGUUUGUGUCAUGACCUGAGAGAGUGAGACAAGAUUUUUCACAGCUUGAGAAAACAAUAAUGUCUCCAUCUGAGCUGACAACAGCAAUAUCAUUUUCUUCUUUCUUCUCUUCCCCUUUUCCUUUUACUGUAUUUCUCUUAAGCUUCAUACACUCCUUUUUCAUGUGUCCUUCCUUUUUACAGUAGUAACAUGUAAUCCAUUUUCUUGACUUGGAUCUUCCUUUUGACUUCUCUCUGUAUUAAGGUUUCUUGUGCCUGCUUCUCCCCCUAUUCUUUGUGACAAGUGCUACUUGUUGAGAUGCACCUAUGGAUUUUCUUCUUGUUUCUUCAUUCAACAGACUUCCAGUUACUUGACCCAUUGUAAGUUUUCCAUCUGGAGCAGAAUUACUCAGAAACAACACCAAUGUUUCCCAACUGUCAGGUAAUGAACUGAGAAGUAAUAAGGCUUGUAACUCGUCAUCUAGUACAACAUUAAUAGUGGAGAGUUGGUUUCAUAAUACUUUACACCUCAUUCAAAUGUUCUGCAAUUGGGCUUCCUUCUCUGUACUUCAGGUUUACAAGCUUUCUAAUCAGAAAUCUUUAUUGCCAACAGUCUUUCGUUCGUACAUCCCUUCCAAUUUCUUCCACAGUGAACAAGCCGGUGUUUCUGUGGAUAUAUGAUAGAAAAUUGUAUCAUCCAAGUAUUGUCGAAUGAAGCCAAUGGCUUUUCGGUCUAACGUUUUUCAAUUUGCAUUAGACAUUUUUUCUAGCUUUGCUAUGUCACCCUCUAUAAGUGCAUACAGAUCUUUACAAUACAGUAAGUCUUCCAUUUUUACUUUCGCAAUCAUCUAGUAGCUUCUAUUCAAACAUACCAUCCUUGUUCCAGUGUUCCCUUCCAUUGUUUACACACACAACCCAAGCUCUGAUACCACUUGUUGGGAAAAAAACAAAUCCGUUUCUCAUCACCUAUGUGCAAACAAUAGAGAUACAAAACCAAUAACAAUGUGCAAAGAACCAAUAAUGCAGAUAAAAUCGAUCAAGCCACACCACAAUAGAAGACACCAAUUUUUAACGUGGAAAACCCUCUCAAUGAGAAAGGUAAAAACCACGGGAUGUAGUCUAGAUCAAAUUUCCACUAUGUAAAUAAUGGGGUUACACAAUUCUCUCUAGAUGUACUAGAGGCUAUCAAUAAACAUCAUGAGUAAUACCCUAUUCUUGGAUAAUAAAAUAUCUCACCAAAUAACAAGGUGGAAUCACAUGACAGUAACACUCUCACCUCAACUGGAAAUGACAAAUACAGGAAGAACUGUCACCUCCCUUGCUUCCCUAGACGCGAAGAACGCUGCCAUGCUGCUAUAGAUCUCCUCUCAGAAAGCUCACCUUCUGGUUUCACAGACCAGAAUGAAGGAGAACAGAGAGCAAAAAUGCAAACCUCUCUGCAACCUGUUUUCUUUUCUUCUUAGAGAAAGAAGAUAAGAGAUUGGAACGGAGAAAGAGACGGAGAGAGAUCCGACCGAGAGAGAGAGAGAGAGAGAGAGAGUAGUGACUUGUUCCCCACUCCUCCCUCUCUUGUCUUCUUCUCAUUUCAUUAUUAUUAUUUUUUUUCUUUUCAAGGACAGCUGGCCCUCCUCGACUUGUGAGGAGGACCCAACAGUUAACAUACUCUUGAUGGCAUUAAUUCAAUCUCAUAUUGAUGCAUUAUGAGCUUUUUUCAAGUGAAAUAUGGUCAUGGAUCACAGUAACUGGUUUUGACCUGAUCUAGGCUCUGUAACUAUACAUGCUGCAUCAAUUUUCCUCAUAUGUCUAUAUGGUUGCAGGUUUUUCAUUACCAGCUAGCUCUGUUCUUGAUCCUACGAGGGUAUAGAUACCAUUGAUGGAGAUACAAAUGCGCAAGGGCAUCAGCCUCAGUGCUUAAAAGCCUACUUAAAUCAAAGUCUUUAUUUGGGCAGUAUCUUCUAGGAUACAAAGACGAAGGAACCGAAAGUGGGUGAGGAAAAGAUGGUGAUAGCCACUAAUAAUCUCAUAAAAUUAACAAUUGGAAUAACUUGGAGCCGUAGGUUUGCUGGAUUUCAUGCCCAAUGCAAAUCUUGCCUUCAUGAUAUCUGACCCGGGUACAGUUUUGGGAAUGAUUGAAAGGGCUUAGAUUUUAUGGUAAAACUAGCUAGGAUGUACCAUAUCAUUCUAGGUGUAUGUGAAGUACAACCAAGACAGUUCAAGUUAUUUUCCUGAACUGCUUUGAAUUUCCCUACUUGCUGCUUUGUUUUGGUUGCAGAAAAUCAUUGUCUCUAACAAGGUGUUAAUCAGAAUGUUUUGAAUCAUCAGAAGGUUAAAUUGAAUUUAAUAGUUUCAAGUUUUCUUUUUCAUUUCAUCUAUAGGGUAUUGCUAAUGGUUCAAAGAAAAGUAAGCCCAAAUCUGAUAUUUCUGGUGAGACAUGGUGUUAUUGAUGGACUUUGAUGCACAAACUUGCUUAUGUAGCUUUUGAGAAUCUUUUUUAUUUUACCAGUCAAGAUAAAGGAUGGGAGGAAAGUAUUGGCUGAUGUCAGCAUUGUAAGGAAUUACAUCCUAAGAAGUCGAGCAAGUGAUUGACUCCAAACCACUGAAGUCAUUCUUUGACAGGUGUUAACAGACUGAUUUGAGUCCUCUGAAGGUUAAAUUGAAUUUAAUAGUUUCACGUUUUAAUGUGUUUAUUUAUUUUUUAUUUUUCCCUUAGAACUCCAAUUAUAUAUGUGGGUUACUUUGAUCAUGUUUUCCUUUAUGGUUCUUGCUUUUCAUUUCAUCUAGGGUACUGCUGAUAGUUCUAAGAAAAGUAAUCCCAAACCUAGUAGUUAUGGUGAGACAUGGUGCUAUUGACCGAUUUUGAUGCACAAACUUGCUUAUUUAGCUUUAGAGAAUUUUUUUAGUCAAGAUGAAGGAUGGGAGGAAAGAGCCACAAACAUUUUAAGUGAAGCCUACUGGUACCAAUAUGUAUUUGGCUCAAAUUAAGAGAUUGUUGCCAAUUAUAUUUUGAGAUGCAUCCAAAUGAACCUCCUACUUUUCCUACUUGUAUAAUUAUGUCGCUUCUUAAAAAAAUUUACAGCAAGAUUCAAGGAAGGAAAGCUUUGUACGGGUCAAGGUAUGGGAUUUUUCCUUUCCCAUUCUUAAUUUUAUCAUUUAAAAAAAAAAAAAAUUCCUGGAACUGUCAAUCACUGGUGUUUUAAUUUACAAAUUCAUAUUAUUUUUUCCAACUCAUGUCUCUAGGGUUUCAGUUGGUCAGAGUACUGACUUUGCAACUACAAUACCAAGAAAACCUAUAAUGGUAUGUAAACCAAUACUAAAUCUCAUAUUUUUCCUCAUGCACGUUUUCCCUUUUAUUUUAGCUGAACGAAGGCUGACCCCAUUGAAUUGGGAUAAGGCAUUAUCGUAUUUCAGCUAAAAUAAAUUGCAUUAUAGCAUAUUUUUCUUCAAUCAAUGUGGUCUUUCUAAUUACUCAAAAUCAUUUACUUAAUUCUAUCUCAAAGCAACUGUUUAUUCUUUUUGAAUAGGUAACUGAAUAAUUCAGUAUAUAUUUACAGUCAUGGAUUUAGGUGUCAGUAUUGUAUGCCAAUAUGUAUUGGUAUUAGUUUGAGUAGAGAAGAUUUAUACAAUGAUUUGGCUUGUCUAGAGUGACCGAGGCUGUAAUUAUUUAUAGUGUAAGUCAACCUCAUUGUCUUUGUCAUCAUCAUGGAAAUAAGACCUUCCCCUGCAAUAUGGCAUUCUCAUUCCCAUUAUCUGUGAUUGGUUAAACCAGCACAGGGAGGUCUCAGCAAUGGCUGAGCUUCAAAUCCUCAGAUAGGGUAAGACAUUUCUACUGAAAGGAAUUCUUAAAGAUUAUCUUAUUUCCAAAACAUUCUCUAUGAACUUAUAGCGUAUUUGGCCUGUUCGUUUUGAUUGUGAGCCCAAGUGUUUUAGUUAUGAUAAUGGUUGUUUAGCUGUGUCAGCCCUCUGUUAUAUAUUAUGAUUGGCAAAUGAUGUGAGAUCCUCAUGGCAAUGUCAUUGAUUGGGUCAAAGGUGACCAGGGCCUUUGUUCACCUAAAAGAUUCUGCACAACCACCAUAUGAUGCGCAAAAGAUAUAAGAAAUUAGCAUAAGGAAAAUCUUUGAUAUGGCCAACUUAAUUUAACUUAAGAAAGAUUAUUCUAACCACCUGAAUUAAUCAAUCCUAUUCUCCCAUCACAUUUUAAUGGAAGGGGAUGUCUUUCAUGGAACCAUAAUCCUCAUGUUGUACUUCUCUUCUUUAAUUUUGACCUUUCUCCUUGUCCUUGUUAGAUCCUUCAAGGUCCAUCUGUCACUUGCAGAGUAAUUGCUCUUCAUUGUACAUGAUCAUAUCACUUUUACCCGAUGUAAUCUAUUUUUGAUCUUUCAUUAAUGAGCCUCAUGUUUCUCCCUAAUUCGAAUGCAACAAUUUUUAACCUUCCUAUUACCCUUUUAAAAGCCUUAAAGUUCCACCAAUGUCAUUGCCAGUCAUUAUACAUGACCAAACUACUACUUAUUUAAAAGUUGUGCCCAUUUGUAGGAUUUUAUUGCUGCAAACCUUUUCCUUCACAGGUAUGGCUUUAUUUUGCUUGGAUCCUUUACAUGGAUUGCUUCAAUCUCUUACUAAUUUAUCGGUUAUUUACAAAUUCAACCAGCACUGGGAGGGCAGCUUAGAUGAGCUUAACAAGCCAAAGUCACAACUGCCAUUCGGUUGGUGUCCACAGGACAGAAUAUAAGGUGAAAAUGACAACAGCUCAUCUUUAUCACAAAUUAUAUUAGGACAAUGGGAUCACCUGAGACCAAGUUGUUCAACUACUGCAAAUGUAUGCCACAAGGAGACCAUUGUUAUUGGCUUGCGUUCUACUCUUGAUCAUGUAGUGGGGAUUCCAACACUGAGGAUUUUUGAAUCCCUCAGAUUCACCUCAGUACUUGUUUGAAAGAAGGAAAAUGCCCAAUCUAGCUUUUGGAUAUUAAUUUCCCAUCAAGUGCUCUCAAAGUUAUAUUCUUGCCAUGGGCCACUAAAAUGUUCCCACCAAGCUCAGAUGAGAAUUUUGUCAAGGAGCUUGCAUUGGAAAAUUCAUUGAAAUUUAGUUGAAGAACUUGUAUUUUGUAAAUGUUUUAAGUAAUUCUAUUAAAGUUUCUUCCAUA